ACACACACUACACUCUUAACAUACACACUCUGGAUCCCCUAUACACACACUAGAUUCCUUGUAAGCAAACACAUACUACACCUCUAAACACACACAUCAUCACCUAUAUACACACACACACACUAUAGCCUGUAUGCACACACUUGCUAUAUCCCCAAUACACACAUUCUCUACAGCCCAUAGCCACAUAUGCAUCACAUUACACCACUUUACACCACAAACACAACAUGACUAAAACCAACCUUAUUACACAAUACCACACCACAAUCAGCUCACUCUACACACACGCAAUACCACAAGCAGGCUCCAAACACAUGCACAAUACUCUUUCCUGGCAUUUUUG
rnacentral:lncRNA from 1 species